CAACUCCGUUGUCAUCCCUAAUAUUUAAAGAUUUCUAAUGCAUGUUUAUAUUGUGCUACAUAUUUAAAUUAUAAGUCUCUUAAUUACAAAAGCACUACUAAAUAUAUUACUGUUUGGUUAAGAUUUGUUUUAGAGUUAAGUAUCUGCCCUUCAAAAAAUCUACGGGCAACACUGAAAGCCAUUUUCCUUUAUGAUUCCCGAAAGAAUGAAAGGAACACCAUGGAAGAUAGACAUAUAUAUUUCUUGCACAACUUCAUAAAAGCAAGUUUAACAUUUAUGCAUCCUACAGUUAUUUAUAAUAUUUCAUCAUCUAUUAUUGGUGUAUUGAUAAUAUAUUAAAUUAUUAUUGUCAAUACAUAUAUAUAUUAAACUCAUAGCUUAAUCCUUCUAUUCC
rnacentral:lncRNA from 1 species